rnacentral:lncRNA from 1 species
CAGGAAGAGAGCUGUUUCUAACUUCAGCUUCUUUUGGAGUGAACUGGGAGCACAGUGCCCUCUUGUGGUAGAUCUGUCGCUUUGCAAAGAAUGGUAAAUUUCUCUAGAAGGAACCCAAGGCAAGAAUUUAAGACGGAUGUGAAUAUUGUCAAAAGCCACCUCGCACCACCUGCAGCCGUUCUUCCAUGCUGUGGCCCAAACUCUUGCUUUCUGGGAAGCAGAACUUGGAUUUGAAGGGUGGCAGAGAGACACGAGAGACCUGGAGAGAAGGGCCAGCCGGGGCGCAGGUGCAUUUGGUCAGCAGAAAGGCAGGACCGGAGAUCUGCACGGGACACGGGAGAGAGGCUGGUAAGGCCGAGGUGAGGGCACCAGGGCCAACCUGAGGGAGG